GACGAACGCUGGCGGCGUGCCUAAUACAUGCAAGUAGGACGCAGUUGCGAACGGGUGAGUAACGCGUAGGUAACUACCUAUUAGAGGGGGAUAACUAUUGGCAACGAUAGCUAAUACCGCAUACUUGUAGAUGGACCUGCGUUGUAUUAGCUAGUAGGUAGGGUAAUGGCCUACCUAGGCAACGAAACAUAGCCGACCUUAGAGGGUGAUCGGCCACACUGGGACUGAGAGACGGCCCAGAAUCCUACGGGAGGCAGCAGUAGGGAGUAUUCGGGGAUAGGGGGAACGCUGACCGAGCAACGCCGCGUGAGUGAGGAAGGUUUACGAAUCGUAAAGCUCUGUUGUUAAGGAAGCGGUACUUAACGAGAAAGGGACGGCUAACUACGUGCCAGCAGCCGCGGUAAUUC
rnacentral:rRNA from 1 species